CUGUGAGUGAGUGUAUGUAUGUGUCUGAGUAUGUGUGUAUGUGUGUCUGUGAGUGAGUGUAUGUGUGUGUCUGAGUAUGUGUGUGUCUGAGUAUGUGUGUCUGUGAGUGUUUGUGUGUGUCUGUGAGUGUGUGUGUGUCUGUGAGUGAGUGUAUGUGUGUGUGUGUCUGUGUGCGCGCAUUUAUAUAUGCAUAUGAGUGCAUAAUUUUUA